rnacentral:rRNA from 1 species
UACGAAGGGUGCAAACGUUGCUCGGAAUCAUUGGGCGUAAAGCGCACGUAGGCGGCCUUGUAAGUCGGAUGUGAAAUCCCACGGCUCAACCGUGGACGUGCAUUCGAAACUGCUCGGCUCGAGUAUGGAAGAGGGUCGCGGAAUUCCCGGUGUAGAGGUGAAAUGCGUAGAUAUCGAGAGGAACACCUGCGGCGAAGGCGGGUUGCUGGGCUGAUACUGACGCUGAGGCGCGAAAGCCAGGGGAGCGAACGGG